rnacentral:rRNA from 1 species
GACGAACGCUGGCGGCGUGCUUAACACAUGCAAGUCGAACGGAAAGGCCCUGCUUUUGUGGGUUGCUCGAGUGGCGAACGGGUGAGUAACACGUGAGUAACCUGCCCUUGACUGUGGGAUAACACCAGGAAACUGGGUCUCUUACCGGAUAGGACCUCCUGCUGCAUGGGUGGGGUUGGAAAGUUUCGGCGGUUGGGGAUGGACUCGCGGCUUUGCAGCUUGUUGGUGGGGUAGUGGCUUACCAAGGCUUUGACGGGUAGCCGGCCUGAGAGGGUGACCGGCCACAUUGGGACUGAGAUACGGCCCAGACUCCUACGGGAGGCAGCAGUGGGGAAUAUUGCACAAUGGGCGGAAGCCUGAUGCAGCAACGCCGCGUGCGGGAUGACGGCCUUCGGGUUGUAAACCGCUUUCGCCUGUGACGAAGCGUGAGUGACGGUAAUGGGUAAAGAAGCACCGGCUAACUACGUG